rnacentral:rRNA from 1 species
UGGGGAAUAUUGCACAAUGGGCGAAAGCCUGAUGCAGCGACGCCGCGUGAGGGAUGACGGCCUUCGGGUUGUAAACUUCUUUCAGCAGGGACGAAGCGCAAGUGACGGUACCUGCAGAAGAAGCACCGGCUAACUACGUGCCAGCAGCCGCGGUAAUACGUAGGGUGCAAGCGUUGUCCGGAAUUACUGGGCGUAAAGAGUUCGUAGGCGGUUUGUCGCGUCGUUUGUGAAAACCAGCAGCUCAACUGCUGGCUUGCAGGCGAUACGGGCAGACUUGAGUACUGAAGGGGAGACUGGAAUUCCUGGUGUAGCGGUGAAAUGCGCAGAUAUCAGGAGGAACACCGGUGGCGAAGGCGGGUCUCUGGGCAGUAACUGACGCUGGGGAACGAAAGCGUGGGUAGCGAAAAGG